UACGGAGGAUGCAAGCGUUAUCCGGAAUGAUUGGGCGUAAAGCGUCCGCAGGUGGCCCAUCAAGUCUGCUGUCAAAGGCCAGGGCUUAACUCUGGAAAGGCAGUGGAAACUGAGGGGCUAGAGGGCGGUAGGGGCAGAGGGAAUUCCCAGUGUAGCGGUGAAAUGCGUAGAGAUUGGGAAGAACACCGGUGGCGAAAGCGCUCUGCUAGGCCGCAACUGACACUCAGGGACGAAAGCUAGGGGAGCGAAUGGGAUUAGAUACCCCAGUAGUCCUAGCCGUAAACGAUGGAUACUAGGCGUAGCUUGUAUCGACCCAAGCUGUGCCGUAGCUAACGCGUUAAGUAUCCCGCCUGGGGAGU
rnacentral:rRNA from 1 species